rnacentral:rRNA from 12 species
CGUCAGCUCGUGUCGUGAGAUGUUCGGUUAAGUCCGGCAACGAGCGCAACCCACAUCUUUAGUUGCCAGCAGUUCGGCUGGGCACUCUAAAGAAACUGCCCGUGAUAAGCGGGAGGAAGGUGUGGAUGACGUCAAGUCCUCAUGGCCCUUACGGGUUGGGCUACACACGUGCUACAAUGGCGGUGACAGUGGGACGCGAAGGGGCGAC